rnacentral:sRNA from 1 species
GAAAAAUAUUUCUGAAAUAAUUGCCAAGGGAGUAACUCAGAUUGAUAAUGACCUGAAAUCUCGAGCAUCUGCAUACAAUAACCUGAAAGGAAAUCUUCAGAAUUUGGAACGAAAGAAUGCAGGAAGUUUGCUAACUAGAAGUCUAGCAGAAAUUGUGAAGAAGGAUGACUUUGUUCUUGAUUCAGAGUAUCUCGUCACAUUACUGGUAGUAGUUCCCAAGUUAAACCACAACGACUGGAUUAAGCAGUAUGAAACACUAGCUGAAAUGGUAGUUCCAAGGUCUAGCAAUGUUCUUUCAGAGGACCAAGACAGUUACCUGUGUAAUGUCACCUUGUUUAGGAAGGCAGUUGAUGACUUCAGACACAAAGCCAGAGAAAACAAAUUCAUUGUUCGUGACUUCCAGUAUAAUGAAGAGGAGAUGAAAGCAGAUAAAGAGGAAAUGAACAGGCUUUCUACUGAUAAGAAAAAACAAUUUGUAUGUGUUUUGCAUAUUUAGUAUUAUCAGUACUAAGCAGAA